rnacentral:rRNA from 1 species
UAGAGUUUGAUCCUGGCUCAGGAUGAACGCUAGCUACAGGCUUAACACAUGCAAGUCGAGGGGAAACGGCAUUGAGUGCUUGCACUCUUUGGACGUCGACCGGCGCACGGGUGAGUAACGCGUAUCCAACCUUCCCAUUACUGUGGGAUAACCUGCCGAAAGGCCGACUAAUACCGCAUAGUCUUCGAUGACGGCAUCAGAUUUGAAGUAAAGAUUUAUCGGUAAUGGAUGGGGAUGCGUCUGAUUAGCUUGUUGGCGGGGUAACGGCCCACCAAGGCGACGAUCAGUAGGGGUUCUGAGAGGAAGGUCCCCCACAUUGGAACUGAGACACGGUCCAAACUCCUACGGGAGGCAGCAGUGAGGAAUAUUGGUCAAUGGACGGAAGUCUGAACCAGCCAAGUAGCGUGCAGGAUGACGGCCCUAUGGGUUGUAAACUGCUUUUGUAUGGGGAUAAAGUCAAUCACGUGUGAUUGUUUGCAGGUACCAUACGAAUAAGGACCGGCUAAUUCCGUGCCAGCAGCCGCGGUAAUACGGAAGGUCCAGGCGUUAUCCGGAUUUAUUGGGUUUAAAGGGAGCGUAGGCUGGAUAUUAAGUGUGUUGUGAAAUGUAGACGCUCAACGUCUGACUUGCAGCGCAUACUGGUUUCCUUGAGUACGCACAACGUUGGCGGAAUUCGUCGUGUAGCGGUGAAAUGCUUAGAUAUGACGAAGAACUCCGAUUGCGAAGGCAGCUGACGGGAGCGCAACUGACGCUUAAGCUCGAAGGUGCGGGUAUCAAACAGGAUUAGAUACCCUGGUAGUCCGCACGGUA